rnacentral:rRNA from 1 species
GAUUCUGGGCGUAAGCGUGCGUAGGUGGUUCGUUAAGUCAGAUGUGAAAGCCCUGGGCUCAACCUGGGAACUGCAUUUGAAACUGGCGGACUAGAGUUUAGUAGAGGGGAGUGGAAUUUCAGGUGUAGCGGUGAAAUGCGUAGAUAUCUGAAGGAACACCAGUGGCGAAGGCGACUCCCUGGACUAAAACUGACGCUGAGGUACGAAAGCGUGGGUAGCAAACAGGAUUAGAUACCCUGGUAGUCCACGCUGUAAACGAUGUCAACUAGCCGUUGGUCCUAUUUACAGGAUUAGUGGCGCAGCUAACGCAUUAAGUUGACCGCCUGGGGAGUACGGCCGCAAGGUUAAAACUCAAAUGAAUUGACGGGGGCCCGCACAAGCGGUGGAGCAUGUGGUUUAAUUCGAUGCAACGCGAAGAACCUUACCUACCCUUGACAUCCAUAGAAUC